ACCUGGCAUACAAUGUAGAAU
rnacentral:miRNA from 1 species